GCUUAAAUAGACAAGGUCUUGCAUAGCCUUUAUCUCUGCAGGCUUAGCUCAAGAUACAGAGAACGGGGCCCUUGUGUUCCUCUGUUGCAUCCCACAAGAUACUUUCAGGCAGUAAUGCUUAAAAAAGUCAAGAAUAACAUGUUCUGCUGCGAAGACUUUUUUAAACAACAACUCAUCUAAGUCAGAAGCACUUCACCUAAACCACCUGAUUCCUGCUCACUUGAACGAUUUUUCUUAGACAUGCAGUUUUUAAGCUGUGUUUCAGAAACAGUCUAAAUCAGAAACCAUAAUGAUACAACUACUACAUCUGUAAGAGGGAUUUUAUAUAACUUGGAAUUAAAGAAAUAAAGAGAUUGAUCCAGUCUGAUCUGACAAAAAGGAUAAAUUGACCGAGGGUCUCCAGUCACAAGUCUCAAAUUCAUACAAGGCAUUGAAUCUCCCGGCAUUUGUUUGACCAGCAUUGCACCUAUCGGGUUACCUGUUAGGAAGCCCUAUUAAGGGACAUAA